rnacentral:sRNA from 1 species
AAACUGCAACUUUCUCUUCGCCGGAUUUUGGAGUUCAGUGGCUCAAUUCAACUACCCAACAAUUCGAAGUGAUGUCGAAAUAUGAAGGAGUGGAUAAUGAAUUUUGAACUUCUUUCUAUUUCUCUCUCAAAUCUCUCCGCCCCUUUCUCUUUCUCAUUUUCUUCUUCUUCGGUUUCUUCGUUUCAUUUUUUUU